UGCAAGUCGAACGGUAACGGGCCUUCGGGUGCCGACGAGUGGCGAACGGGUGAGUAAUGCAUCGGAACGUACCUUUCAGUGGGGGAUAACGUAGCGAAAGUUACGCUAAUACCGCAUAUUCUGUGCGCAGGAAAGCAGGGGAUCGCAAGACCUUGCGCUGAUUGAGCGGCCGAUGUCAGAUUAGCUAGUUGGUGAGGUAAAGGCUCACCAAGGCGACGAUCUGUAGCGGGUCUGAGAGGAUGAUCCGCCACACUGGAACUGAGACACGGUCCAGACUCCUACGGGAGGCAGCAGUGGGGAAUUUUGGACAAUGGGGGCAACCCUGAUCCAGCCAUGCCGCGUGAGUGAAGAAGGCCUUCGGGUUGUAAAGCUCUUUCGGCCGGGAAGAAAUCGCAUGGGCCAAUACCCUGUGCGGAUGACGGUACCGGCAUAAGAAGCACCGGCUAACUACGUGCCAGCAGCCGCGGUAAUACGUAGGGUGCGAGCGUUAAUCGGAAUUACUGGGCGUAAAGCGUGCGCAGGCGGUUUUGUAAGACAGGCGUGAAAUCCCCGGGCUCAACCUGGGAACUGCGCUUGUGACUGCAAGGCUAGAGUACGGCAGAGGGGGGUGGAAUUCCACGUGUAGCAGUGAAAUGCGUAGAGAUGUGGAGGAACACCAAUGGCG
rnacentral:rRNA from 1 species